rnacentral:lncRNA from 1 species
AGGCUGUGAAAACACUUCAGGCCAGUCCCUGAGUAGGAAUGGACAACAAGGUGGUCACCAUGCUGACAGCUAUUCCCUGUGUGAUUUACUUUAUUAUGAAGUCUAAAUUUGAUGCUGAAGUGCUAGCCUAAGCUCACUAACCUGCCAACUUAGAGAAGAAGGUAACCAUGGCUAGGAUGACUGGGAAUCUGAUGGACUCAAUUAAGAAUUUCUACAGAUGGGAAAACCAAAACUCCUUAGUGGCAAGAGGCCAAAGAUGGUCAGCGAAUUGUUGUUUCCGGCUGUUGGAAGUUGACUGCAGUUGAAUAACAGAACAAAAACGGAGCUUCAAAAUCAUGGCGUGCCUGCUUCUUCUGGGUUCUUUUAACUGCAAGCAAUCAGCUUUGAAGAGCACGUAGGGAACUUCUGAUCUCAAGAAUAACAUUUACAUAUGAAAGAAAAUAGGAGAUGGCUCAGAAUAAUAUGUCCAAGGCCACGCCCAGGCGUCAGGGAUUCAUGAAUUUUGUAUACAGUGUAUGAUGUUUCUAGAUUAAAAUAUUUUCAAAGGUA